CAGCCCUAUAAGACAUAAGUAUCCAUGCAUGUGGUAAUACACAAUAGCUAUUCUUGUAUCCCUACUGAUCUGCCAUCUAAAAUAUUUCAUGAUUUAUUGUUUCAGGUUUACCCACCAGCUGAAUAAAAUUCACAGCUACCAUAACUAAGCUCCUCGCUAACUUCAAAAGUACUGUUAUUCUUCUUUCUCAAAUAGUAGAGCCAGCUACUGUACAGUCGGCAAGGAGCAAUCUGGUCACACACUGCCACCAGUCCCAGGGUACAGACUCAGCGGCGGGCAGUCUUGCCGGCCGCAGUGCUCCCGCUAUGAGCCGGCUGCAGCCUCCGAAGCGGGACGCCGGCGCCUCCUCGGACGAGGAGGUGCUUGAUGACGUGCCGAUCGACGAGUUCGCGGCGGCCACGCUGCGUCUGGCGGCCAGUCCGUCGCCGGCGCCGGCCGAGGCCGACCGGGCCGUGUCCGAGGAGGCGGUGCCGGUGCCGGCGGUGCGCGCAGCGUCCAUCUACAGUCCGGACGGGGGGCCGGAGCCGCCGGCCGGACUGACGGCGCCGCCGCCGCCGGCCGCCAGCGCCGACAGCUCUCCGGCCAGCUCCGACUCGGGCACCAAGACGUUCUUUUCGACUCGCACCGGCGCGUUCGAGACUGCCGUCAACAAGUGCAAGAGGGUGCUGCUGCCCUCUGACGGCCAGUUCCACAGCGCCUGGCUGCUCACACUGAUCGACCACUGGGACGUGGAGAAGGAGCGGCUGGUGCUGCUGUCGGAGCGCGCGCUGCUCAUCAUCAAGUACGACUUCAUCGCGCUGCAGGCGGUGGCCGUGACUCGGGUGCCGCUCAACGCCCCCGACCGGAUCGUCAUCGGCGAGAUCACCUACCCGCCGACCUCUAUCACACCGCGGAUCUCGGGUAUUGCCGGCGGCCUGGUGUCGGUGGUGAAGGGCUGCCUGAUGGGCCGCGUCGGACAGACGGUCAGCCAGCUCAGACACUGCGUGCCGGGCGGGCCGCCGCACCGGUCGGCCGUCUCCACCAACGGCGCCGUCAGCUUCCAGCCGCGGUACCGGCGCGCCUCUGGCGUGCGGAUCAGCUGGGACGGCGGUCGGCCGCUGUCACUGACACAGAGCUGGAACCCGCUGGCCAGCGACAUCCCCUUCGUGACGCUCACCUCGCACUCACUGUUCUGGGAGCUGGGGGAGCCGGCGGACGGCUCUGGCCGCUGGGAGCGGUACAGCGUGCAGGCGUUCUGCCGGCCGCUGCUGGAGCUGGUGUCCCGCGAGCAGGAGCGGCCCGACACGCCGUCCCACUGCGUCACAGAGCGCUGCCCCAUCGUCGUCAGCAACUACGUGGGCGUGCUCAGCCUGCUGCACAACGCCACAGACCUGGGAUUCUUCAAGAACCGCGGCCGGGUCAGUUUCUAGCGCGCCGGCGCCGGCCGGGGGCGGCCCGGGGUUACUGGCGGCCGGCCGGGGGCGGCCCGGGCUUACUGGCGGCCGCCGCAGAGCUUCGGUUCGCCAGGACAGGUUAUCGAGCUUUUCCAGAAGGGUAGUGGUCAGCGGUGCUGUUACUGGGUGCGUUGGUCUGGUGGUCGCUGUCCUUGGUGUACUGUGGGGUCGUGGGCUCACUUCGGUGACUGUCAGUGGACUGGGUGUGCCCGUCGACUGUCGGCGGACCGGGUGUGUCCCGUCGGCUGUCAGUGGACUGGCUGUCCACCGUUGGAUGGGCCCCGUUGGUUGGAGGCUAGCGGACAGGCUGACCGGUAGCGGUAGCGUUGAUUUGUGAAAGUACGUAUCACCCUGCCCACUAGUGUCAAAUUCCUCCGGUUCAUGUGCGAAGCCGCAUACACUGUAAUUUCUUUGUAGUUGAAAGUACGAUAUAUUAUAUAUCGUCUGGCGAAUAAUACCAAAGAUAAGUGCAAUGGAGACACUAGUCAAACCUGUGGUAUUUAUAACUACAUAAAAUUCAAUAAGCAAAAGGAUGAUGUUUCUUGAUGUUGUUAUCAAAUAUCAGAUUUUGUGUGUUAUUCAAUGUGCAGUAAAAUGAUAAUGAUCCUAGCAAUUUCUCUCAACUUGAUAUUCUUGUAAAAUUGGAGACUUUUUCCAGUGUUCAUUGAAAUCUUGUUAUAUCCAAUAAUUUAGCUAGUGUGACAGGUGCGUUAUUUUUUAACCAUUUAUUUUUAUUUUAGCUUUGUGUGGUACACCUUACCGCAUUUGCCGGGGCUGUCAACUAUAAUAUGUUAUUCCUCUUAAGUCUUUUAUAUUCGAUGUUCGAUUCAUUUUAGCCAGCUCUGACGGAUAAUGAGCUUUUGAAAUCCACAAGACCGCUGAGCUGGCGAAGGACAUUGCUUAUUUUGCAAGACUGAGUGCCAUUUUUCGCUGCAUUUCAUUUUCGUAUGAUUUUGCACAUUCCAUCGAAACAGCAUAUACAUUCAUGUGAGCUUAUAAAUGGUGUAUUUUCGAGGAUGCAUGCUCAUGUUGAUACAAUUACCAAAUACGUUGCUGAUCUUCUCUUGCUCGAAAAUUAAUUGUGAAGCGUAUAUUUCCGGUCUUUAGAAUGUAUGAUGAGAACUUUAGGGGAAUAAACGAUGCAUGCGAUGUGCGUGUAUUCAUA